GUGAUAGAGGCGCGGUGUUCAAGAGUAGCACGCGGCAUUCGGGGCAGACCCCCGCCGCUGCAAAAGGGAACAUCGCCGAAGGAAGCGAACCCGGUCUGGGGGGCGCUUGCCUGGGCCGGCGGAGAAGAUCCGCCGGACUGUCACGAAUUUUUUCGUGAAGCGCUAUCC
rnacentral:ncRNA from 1 species